GCUCGGAAUGGGCGUCCUCCAGUGCAGCUGUCUGCCUCUUCAGCUCCUCUGGAGAGAGUGACAGUUUGAGACAGAAAAGUGGGGACAGAGUGAGGGAAGGCACACAGCAGAGGGCCCUGGGUUGGACUCAAACAGCCUAGCGGCAUAAGAUCAUCUGCCGAACAAGAUCUACAGGUAUCUGCAGCUCAGUGGGUGAGCAGGUGACCAUAGCCCAUUUUGUCAGUCAGCAUUGUCAUCUUGUAAAUCUUCCCCUUGCACUCUCAUCUUCAUCUCUCUUGUGUACUCAUUGUUUUGGAUUGUUGA